UGGGGAAUUUUGGACAAUGGGGGAAACCCUGAUCCAGCCAUCCCGCGUGUGCGAUGAAGGCCUUCGGGUUGUAAAGCACUUUUGGCAGGAAAGAAACGUCAUGGGUUAAUACCCCGUGAAACUGACGGUACCUGCAGAAUAAGCACCGGCUAACUACGUGCCAGCAGCCGCGGUAAUACGGAGGGUGCAAGCGUUAAUCGGAAUUACUGGGCGUAAAGCGUGCGCAGGCGGUUCGGAAAGAAAGAUGUGAAAUCCCAGAGCUCAACUUUGGAACUGCAUUUUUAACUACCGGGCUAGAGUGUGGCAGAGGGAGGUGGAAUUCCGGGUGUAGCAGUGAAAUGCGUAGAUAUGCGGAGGAACACCGAUGGCGAAGGCAGCCUCCUGGGAUAACACUGACGCUCAUGCACGAAAGCGUGGGGAGCAAACAGG
rnacentral:rRNA from 1 species